AGUACAUUAAUUUUUCUUCCUAUCAAAAUAAUUUUUACUACGUAUAAUCAAUUUGGACAGUGUUGCCAAUAAAAACAAAAAUAGAAGUGAUGAGAAAGUUCAAGUGAUUUGAUCAACGUAGUAACUUAUUUCUUUUCGGUUGAUCGGCCGCUGUCGUUUUAUGAAUUUUUCAUCGUUUUAUAUCGGCGGUGCUGCAGUUUAAUCAUUUUCCAGAAGCAACGAAGAAUAUCGAAUAGCGAUCAAAAUGAUGAACGCACGAAGGAGAAGUUAUGAAAGUAAAUUAUCGGUAUGACUGAAAUGUCGCAAUAAAAGAAAGGUGUUUGACGGAGCAGAGAAAAUAAGGAGGCAAUAAUUCAAAAAAGAAAGGAUAGAAUGAGAAAGAGAGAAAGGAGACUUUGAAGGGUGUAGAAAAAAAAAAAAGGAAAAAAAAAAAAAUCAAAGGCUUUUGGUGGUUCUUCUCGUUUCGUAAAAUAAGACCGAAAAUCCAAUAUAAAAGCAAUAUCUGAAGUGACACGGCGAACAGCACGACGGAGUUCCUCUCUCGCCCUAUCAACGAAGAAGAACAACAAACGAACGCACCAGAGAUAGAAAUUGAUCGAUAAGGGAUAAGGAACAAAGUGACGACUUACCGUAGGUGGACAAGACGAGCUGUCCCUGGAGAGACUACCGAGAGUCACCAGCAAACGACGCGGGGCCCCCAACACCGACUCUCGCCAUCCCUCUAAAAAGAAAAAGAAAAAGAUAAAUAGCUCAAGAGAAAAUUGCAUUAUUUAUCGGCUGACAUAUUUCACGAUAUUUGGUUCUGCAUUAUCCAUUUUGAUGAAUGAUAACACUUGAAGGAAUAAUAAAUAAAAAUGCAAUAAUUUUUUAAAGUGAAUUAAACGCAAAAAUGUUCAUCCAUUAUUGAACGUGAAUAUAUAACUUUUAAAAAAAUUCAAAAAAGGAAUUUCCAAUGGAAUACGUUAUUCACCCUGAUGCCUUUUGAAGAUAAAACGUUCGAAUCGAUCUUAUUCUGGAAGAAUUCGUACGUUGCAGCAGAUCCGUCUAUAAGGGCAAAGUAGGAAGUAAGAAAAGGGCAGUGGUAAGGGAAGAAGGAACGAAAAAAAAGAAAAAAAAAAAAGAAGGAAAGGAGAAAAAAAGGUUCGAUGGUCGUUCGUAGGAAAUCCUCAUUCCCAAUCCCGAAGGAACGAAAUGGCUUGAUUAACUGACGACGCGUCGUUACUGCGGCCAAGCCUCUGCUGUACUUCGUAGUAUUGCCCUAUAGGGCUCGAACCAAGGAGUUCUCGUAGCAGUAUUCGAAGGGUGCCUCAAGGCAAAAAGAAAAUGGAAAGGGGCGUACCAAGCUGGUCCUUUAUUCUACUUUGCACGAUCACGUUCGCGGUUUUUUUUACGCCUGAUAAAAAGAGCUUUGCCUCAUUUCUUUUUUCU